rnacentral:rRNA from 1 species
AGUAACACGUGGGUAACCUGCCUUAUGAGGGGGGAUAACAGAGAGAAAUCACUGCUAAUACCGCAUAAGCACACAGUACCGCAUGGUACAGGGUGAAAAGAUUUAUCGCCAUAAGAUGGACCCGCGUCUGAUUAGCCAGUUGGCAGGGUAAAAGCCUACCAAAGCAACGAUCAGUAGCCGAUCUGAGAGGAUGACCGGCCACAUUGGGACUGAGACACGGCCCAA